rnacentral:rRNA from 1 species
GAUGAACGCUGGCGGCGUGCCUAAUACAUGCAAGUCGAGCGAACAGACGAGGAGCUUGCUCCUCUGACGUUAGCGGCGGACGGGUGAGUAACACGUGGAUAACCUACCUAUAAGACUGGGAUAACUUCGGGAAACCGGAGCUAAUACCGGAUAAUAUAUUUAACCGCAUGGUUCAAUAGUGAAAGACGGUUUUGCUGUCACUUAUAGAUGGAUCCGCGCCGCAUUAGCUAGUUGGUAAGGUAACGGCUUACCAAGGCAACGAUGCGUAGCCGACCUGAGAGGGUGAUCGGCCACACUGGAACUGAGACACGGUACAGACUCCUACGGGAGGCAGCAGUAGGGAAUCUUCCGCAAUGGGCGAAAUCCUGACGGAGCAACGCCGCGUGAGUGAUGAAGGUCUUCGGAUCGUAAAACUCUGUUAUUAGGGAAGAACAAAUGUGUAAGUAACUAUGCACGUCUUGACGGUACCUAAUCAGAAAGCCACGGCUAACUACGUG